UGUCUGAGAGUACAACACAAAAUUAGUUUCGUCAGGCUUCUGAUAGAGUGACGCAAAUUCAGAAGAUUGUUUGCAGUUGUAUCCUGGGACUCAUUACGUUAUCGAACCGUCGCACUACGGGACGUAUUUUGAGUUAAGGAAAAAAAUAAUAUCUCGCCUCUGCAGUUAUAUCUUCAUUUUCUUAAAUCUUUGGUAUAUUCUUAUCAAUUUUUUAUUUACAAUAUUCAGUUCUCCGUAGUUUAUAAAAUACGGUUCUAUCACCCUAAUCCGUCGUCGUAGACUGUUGCAACUCAGUCGGCGUCUCCUCCUUCUCUGACAAACUCUCCAGUCUCGUCUUCGUCUCCCACCGGAUUCGUGAGCCAUCUCGACGUUUCCAAAAGCAUUCAGGUCAUAUUCUAUGUAAAAGCUGGAGUAUGUGUAGCAGCUGGAGCAAUGGAGAUAAGUCUGUGCGUCGCCCAUAUCUUGGGAUCGGUUGUUGUGGGCCAAGAGAACAUUUACCAAAUCGUAUCAUCACAAGCGUUAAGAGCUGGAGCUCUUGCAUUUCACUCAACAAUGACGCAAGGGUAUUAACCAGGACGCAAGGAUUGUGUUGGAAGUGAUGUUGUUAUAGUGAAGAUGAUGACAAGAAUGCUGCUGGAAAAAGAAGAAACCUUCAAGUUCUUCGUGAUAUAGGCAAUGUUGUUCGACGAAAUCACACAAAGAACAAUGACCCUGCAAAGAUCAAUCAUCCUCGUACACUGUCUCGGCAUGUUCCACUCGUUGAGCUUGUUAAACAUGUGGUGAGAAACCAAAGAUGUAGAGGUUAGAUGGAUUUGGAGUCUAGCGAGAGAAGAUGGAAUUGGUUCAGAGAUGAGGGAUGAGAGAUAGAUGGUCCUAGUGUUUGGUGAUGGAACUUUGAAUUGUUUAUACAGAGAAGAAGGGUUUAAAACCUUACAGCUCAAUGUUGGGAAAAACCUUAAGGCCGGUUUAGAAGUUCUCCAGGCUAUACGUGCAGUCCACCUUGGCAAAAAUUUAUGUUGUUAGUUUAAGGCUUAUGUAAUGUUACUGUAAGACUUGGAAAUAUUAUAUGAAAAAUGUAUGUUUUAUAAACUUAGUGCAAUAUAUAUAUUUUUGUUAUAAA